rnacentral:sRNA from 1 species
GCCAGACGUGGUGGUGCAUGCCUGUGCUCCCAGCUACUCGGGAGGCUGAGGUGGGAGGAUUCCUCGAGCCCAGGAGUUUGCGGCUUCAGUGAGCUAUGAUUGCAUCACUGCACUCCAGCCUGGGCUACAGAGCAAGACCCUAUCUCUU